AGCUGGUUUUCAUCGGGGCUUUAUUUUUAGCCGGUAAGCUGGGCCAGCCUAGAUCACGUGGGAUGGAGUUUCCCUAUCAACUGCUGUGAACCUGUGAGAAGCAGAAACCCUCUCUGUUUUCUGGAACUGAAAGGAGCGCUAAGUGGCUCAGCGGAGGGAGCAGCCAAGUGUCUGAGGAUUCUGCCCCUGCUUCCUCUGGCUCAGGGUUUCCGGACUUCAUUUGAACAGCUUUCUACUUUUGUCAAGGAGACGGCUGACUCCACGAGGGAAUUGUCAACUAGUAAAGCCCUUUCUUCAGAAAGUGUGAAUCGAUGGUGACUGUAAAAACCCAGGAUCUGGGGAAGAUUUCCUGAAACUGUGCGUGAGCACCUGUAAGCCUGCUGUUUCUCAGCCUCCUUAAGAGUGACAUCUUAGCAUCCCUCUCUUCCUAAUCCAUUUGCCCAGAGAUGGCUACAGAAGGUUUUCUCUGUCUGUCAACCCUCUCAUGUAGAAAUAGUUCUAUAUCCUUUUAAACGCCUUGCAACACUGCUACCAUCUCUGGUCCAUCAUUUCUUACAUAUGUGUGCAUUUAAUUAAUCCUGCGUACGAAUUAAUUUGAUUGGCUGCAUCUCUUCCCAUUUUCCUGUUAAGCCUUGGUAAGAAGUGUGUGUGUGUGUGUGUGUGUGUGUGUGUGUGUGUGUGUG
rnacentral:lncRNA from 1 species